rnacentral:rRNA from 1 species
UAAAAUGUGAUGUACCUAGUAAUUAUUAGUGAUUAAUAUGAGACUAACCGAGUUAGUUAAAAUUCUAAGUAUAUAUGUGAUUAUGACAAUAUGUGCUUAUUUCUUGACCAAGUCACGUGCCAGCGGUCGCGGUAAUACGUGGAAGAUCAGUGUUAUUCAUCUUUAUCAGGUUUAAAGGGUACCUAGACGGUUAAUUAAGCUUUAGUAGGAACUAAUUAACUAGAGUUUAAUGUAAGAAUGAUUGAGUACGGUGAGUGUAGAGAUAAAAUUCUGUCAUACCACUUAGGAACUGGUAAAAGCGAAGGCAACUUUCUAUGUAAAAACUGACGUUAAGGGACGAAGGCUCGUAUCAAAUAACAGGAUUAGAUACCCCAGUAUUGUGGGCAGACAAUGAUGAGUGUCAUAUGCAAGAUAUAAAAAAAAAUUUUUGUGUAUAAAUGAAAGUGUAAGCACUCCACCUCAAGAGUAACGUGGCAACAUGGGAACUGAAAUCAUUAGACCGUUUCUGNNACUCGUAGUGAAGUAUGUUGUUUAAUUAGAUGGCGCACAAAUAACCUUACCACAAUUUGUAUAACUAUAGUACAUAAUAAUAAUGUAGUUACAAGCGUUGCACGGCUGUCUU